rnacentral:tRNA from 1 species
AAGAAAGACAUAGUGGUUAUGGUGUUGGCUUGAAACUGACUACAGGAGGUUCGAUUCCUUCCUUUCUUG